UACAGAGACUGCAAGCGUUAUUCGGAUUCAUUGGGCGUAAAGGGUGCGUAGGCGGCGCGGUAAGUCGGGUGUGAAAUCUCGGAGCUUAACUCCGAAACUGCAUUCGAUACUGCCGUGCUUGAGGACUGGAGAGGAGACUGGAAUUUACGGUGUAGCGGUGAAAUGCGUAGAUAUCGUAAGGAAGACCAGUGGCGAAGGCGGGUCUCUGGACAGUUCCUGACGCUGAGGCACGAAGGCCAGGGGAGCAAACGGG
rnacentral:rRNA from 1 species